rnacentral:rRNA from 1 species
ACUCCUACGGGAGGCAGCAGUGGGGAAUCUUGCGCAAUGGGCGAAAGCCUGACGCAGCAACGCCGCGUGAGUGAUGAAGGCCUUCGGGUCGUAAAGCUCUGUCAGGAGGGAAGAAUAAAUGACGGUACCUCCAAAGGAAGCACCGGCUAACUCCGUGCCAGCAGCCGCGGUAAUACGGAGGGUGCAAACGUUGCUCGGAAUCAUUGGGCGUAAAGCGCGCGUAGGCGGCCUAGUAAGUCUGAUGUGAAAGCCCAGGGCUCAACCCUGGAAAGCCAUUGGAAACUACUCGGCUUGAGAGCAGGAGGGGCAGGUGGAAUUCCUGGUGUAGGAGUGAAAUCCGUAGAGAUCAGGAGGAACACCGGUGGCGAAGGCGACCUGCUGGACUGUAUCUGACGCUGAGGCGCGAAAGCGUGGGGAGCAAACAGGAUUAGAUACCCUGGUAGGAUAGCG